UGGUCAUCGCGGCGGUUGUCGUCGUGCUACGGCGGCACGCUGACGCCACGCGGGGGACCGUUUGGCCACGCAGAGAAUUCUGCGGCGGCAGCGGCGGCGGGCCGGGCCAGCUGGGCCGCGAUCCUCGCCGUGUCCCUCGCCCUGGUGGCCACGCUGCUGCUGCUGCUGCUGCUCUACUGCCACCCCCGUCAGCGUCAGCGUCAGCGUCGUCACGAGCCCUGGGGCCCCUCGGAGGAUCCCCCCACGCUCCCCAAGGCACCGCGGAGAAACGCGGAGGGCGACCGUGGCUCCUUGCUAACGCUAGAGAGUGGCAACAAGGCGGAUGAGGGGCUGCACGAGUUGCCACCGCAGCCUCAGCACCAAGACAGCGGAGCUGGA